UACAGAGGUCUCAAGCGUUGUUCGGAUUCAUUGGGCGUAAAGGGUGCGUAGGCGGCGCGGUAAGUCGGGUGUGAAAUCAUCGGAGCUUAACUCCGAAACUGCAUUCGAUACUGCCGUGCUUGAGGACUGGAGAGGAGACUGGAAUUUACGGUGUAGCGGUGAAAUGCGUAGAUAUCGUAAGGAAGACCAGUGGCGAAGGCGGGUCUCGUGGACAGUUCCUGACGCUGAGGCACGAAGGUCAGGGGAGCAAACGGG
rnacentral:rRNA from 1 species